GAUGAAGAACGUAGCGAAAUGCGAUAAGUAAUGUGAAUUGCAGAAUUCAGUGAAUCAUCGAAUCUUUGAACGCACAUUGCGCCCGCCAGUAUUCUGGCGGGCAUGCCUGUUCGAGCGUCAUUUCAACCAUCAAGCCCUGCUUGCGUUGGGGUCCUGCGGCUGCCCGCAGGCCCUGAAAACCAGUGGCGGGCUCGCUAGUCACACCGAGCGCAGUAAUACAUCUCGCUUUGGGCGUGCGGCGGGUUCUUGCCGUUAAACACCCCCUUUUUACCAAGGUUGACCUCGGAUCAGGUAGGAAUACCAGCUGAACUUAAGCAUAUCAAUAAGCGGAGGA
rnacentral:misc_RNA from 1 species